rnacentral:rRNA from 1 species
UACAGAGGUGGCAAGCGUUGUUCGGAAUUACUGGGCGUAAAGCGCGUGUAGGCGGCUUUGCAAGUCGGAUGUGAAAGCCCACGGCUCAACCGUGGAAGUGCAUCCGAAACUGCAUGGCUCGAGUCUCGGAGAGGAAGGUGGAAUGCUUGGUGUAGAGGUGAAAUUCGUAGAUAUCAAGCAGAACACCUGCGGCGAAGGCGGCCUUCUGGACGAUGACUGACGCUGAGACGCGAAAGCGUGGGGAGCAAACAGG